GCGUUUUGUUCCUUUUAGACAGAGGCCCUGGCCGGCCACAUGGCCACGCUGUUGAAAAGCUCUAAAUUUUCCGACGAGCUCUGGGACCCUUAGCAGGGGAGACUGGAAACAGACAAGCUGGACCUCUGCCUCUAUGGCGAUUUCUGAGAUGCUAAGAAGUCCUCAGUUUCUUCUCCUUUGAUAGACUACCCAAUAUUUGAGCUGCUACCGUUAUGAGUUUCACGCGUAUUUUAUGAGUGAAAAGAAGAAAGCAGGACCAUUUUGGGUACCGGCCGAGGCAAGAGUUCCUGUUGCUUUGGAUUCUGACUUCUGGGUCUGAAUUGAGGGCAGGGCAGAGCCACCAGAGGCUGGGAGAUGUGUAAUGGUGUCGGGCGGUGUGACAAAUUCCAGCAAGCUUCCCUCCUCCCCCACUUAAGGACAAAGCCCAUCAGAAGAAAAAGAAGGAUCAUCUUCUAAGAAAAGGCGACUGCCUCUGAGGCUAAAUUAUGUCAAGAUAUAAGAUCAGGAAUGUCCAGAUGCUGUUCAUCCCAUCUUAAUUUAAUUUGGACUUCUUUGGGGGAAAACAUACCUCAGUUCCAGGAAAAGUUGUUUUGACUUUGAGGCUGCUUGGCCUCUGUUUUAUGAAAACAAACAUUUUAAUCAAGAUGCCAUCAUUCCUGGAUUUUCACUGUGAAGGUAUU